UACAGAGGGGGCAAGCGUUGUUCGGAAUUACUGGGCGGAAAGGGCUCGUAGGCGGCCAACUAAGUCAGACGUGAAAUCCCUCAGCUUAACUGGGGAACUGCGUCUGAUACUGGAUGGCUUGAGUUUGGGAGAGGGAUGCGGAAUUCCAGGUGUAGCGGUGAAAUGCGUAGAUAUCUGGAGGAACACCGGUGGCGAAGGCGGCAUCCUGGACCAACACUGACACUGAUGAGCGAAAGCCAGGGGAGCAAACGGG
rnacentral:rRNA from 1 species